rnacentral:rRNA from 1 species
AUGGCGCCGGUGGCUGUGCUUGUGCCGUGGCUAGCAUGGCUCGUCGCCUCUUUCCUCUCCGUCUAUCUCCUCAACCUCCUCGCACGGGCGCGCUCCGGUCUCCCGCCGGGCCCCCACCCGCUGCCGCUCAUCGGCAGCCUCCACCUCCUCGGCGAUAAGCCGCACCGCUCCCUUGCCCGCCUGGCCAAGGCCCACGGCCCGCUCAUGUCCCUGCGCCUCGGCGCGGUCACCACGGUGGUCGUCUCCUGCCCCGCCAUGGCGCGGGAGUUCCUGCAGCGGCACGACUCCGCGUUCGCCGCCAGGUCCGUGCCCGACGCCACCGGCGAGCACGCGGCGGGCUCCGUGGCUUGGCUGCCCCCUGCGCCGCGGUGGCGCGCGCUGCGCAAGAUGAUGGCCACGGAGCUGUUCGCCCCGCACCGGCUCGACGCGCUGCGCCACCUGCGGAGCGAAAAGGUACGGGAUCUCGUCGACCACGUCGCGCGGCUGGCGCGCGAGGGCGCCCCGGUGAACGUCGGCCGCGUGGCCUUCACGACGAGCCUGAACCUCCUCUCCUGCACCAUCUUCUCCGCCGACCUGACGAGCCUCGACGACCGCGGCCGCUCGGAGGGGUUCCAGCAGGUGGUGACGGCCAUCAUGCAGGCCGUGGGGAGCCCCAACGUGUCGGACUUCUUCCCGCUGCUCGCGCCGGCCGACCUGCAGGGCACGCGCCGGCGGCUGGCGCGGCUGCUCGUGCGGCUGCACGCGGUGUUCGACGCCGAGGUGGACGGGAGGCUGCGCUGCCGCGACGCCGGCCAGCCGAGGAAGAACGACUUCCUCGACGCGCUGCUCGACGUGGCGGCGCGUGAGGACGGCAAGGACCUGCUGGAUCGCCAGACGCUACGAUCACUUUUCACGGUAACCACAAUUUCUGUCUGA